rnacentral:antisense_RNA from 3 species
CUUCAACGACCCCAGCCACACAGGCCGAUCGGCAGGCCGGCCCUGGCCGUACGUCGCCAACAACGCCUGCGCCUC